GAUGAACGCUGACAGAAUGCUUAACACAUGCAAGUCGAUGGGGAAGUGGUGCUUGCACCAUGGUAACCAUGGCGGACGGGUGAGUAACGCGUAAGGAACUUGCCUGCGGGACUGGGAUAACAGCAGGAAACUGCUGAUAAUACCGGAUAAGGUCAUUAAGCUGCAUAGCUUAGUGAUGAAAGGAGACGCCUGCGGAGAGCCUUGCGUCCUAUUAGCUAGUUGGAGGGGUAACGGCCCACCAAGGCGAGGAUAGGUAGCCGGCCUGAGAGGGUGGACGGCCACAAGGGGACUGAGAUACGGCCAUUACUCCUACGGGAGGCAGCAGUGGGGAAUAUUGGACAAUGGGGGCAACCCUGAUCCAGCAAUUCUGUGUGCACGAAGACGGUUUUCGGAUUGUAAAGUGCUUUCAGCAGGGAAGAAGGAAGUGACGGUACCUGCAGAAGAAGCGACGGCUAAAUACGUG
rnacentral:rRNA from 1 species